UGUCCCUGUCCUGGCUAGAGUGACACCUACUUGGCUGUGUCCAUCUCACGUCAGCCAGGAACAAAGAAAAUUCCUUGUUUAUUCCAGCUUGGCUUUGCAUCUAUACCCGUCUGGUUCAUGCCUUGGAUAUAUAU
ensembl:snoRNA